rnacentral:rRNA from 1 species
GCCAGCAGCCAUAUCACUCUGCAACUCACAACUGGCAACCCACUGAAGCUCAGCAGGUGUGAGCCUGGUCAGUACCUGGAUGGGAGACCUCCUGGGAAAAACUAAGGUUUCUGCUGGAA